UGGCAUCCUCCAUGUAAACGGCUCCUCCUUACACAAGAAAGCAUCAAUCAACCCUUCAUGAUUGAUCUCCACCUUGAGUGUAUCUUUCUUCUCCAUCUUCAAUCUUGAUCACCACCACCGCAACCUACACUUUGGUACCAACCCAACUCUAAUACCAAUUAUUAUGAUAUCACUUGCUCUGAUACCACUUGUUGCAGAUCUAGUACCAUCCA
rnacentral:lncRNA from 1 species